AACGAACGCUGGCGGCGUGCUUAACACAUGCAAGUCGAACGAUGAACCCGGAGCUUGCUCCGGCGGAUUAGUGGCGAACGGGUGAGUAACACGUGAGUAACCUGCCCUUGACUCUGGGAUAACUGCUAGAAAUGGUAGCUAAUACCGGAUACGACACUCGGUGGCAUCAACAGGGGGUGGAAAGAAUUUCGGUCAAGGAUGGACUGGCGGCCGAUCAGCUAGUUGGUGAGGUAACGGCUCACCAAGGCGACGACGGGUAGCCGGCCUGAGAGGGUGACCGGCCACACUGGGACUGAGACACGGCCCAGACUCCUACGGGAGGCAGCAGUGGGGAAUAUUGCACAAUGGGCGCAAGCCUGAUGCAGCAACGCCGCGUGAGGGAUGACGGCCUUCGGGUUGUAAACCUCUUUUAGUAGGGAAGAAGCGAAAGUGACGGUACCUGCAGAAAAAGCACCGGCUAACUACGUGCCAGCAGCCGCGGUAA
rnacentral:rRNA from 1 species